rnacentral:tRNA from 1 species
UGGGUCAGUUGGCAGAUCGUCAGAUUAAAAAUCAGAAGGUCUUCAGUUCAAUUCCCG